rnacentral:rRNA from 1 species
UGGGGAAUCUUGCACAAUGGGGGCAACCCUGAUGCAGCGACGCCGCGUGAGCGAUGAAGCCCUUCGGGGCGUAAAGCUCUUUCGACCGGAACGAUAAUGACGGUACCGGGAGAAGAAGCUGCGGCUAACUACGUGCCAGCAGCCGCGGUAAUACGUAGGCAGCAAGCGUUGUUCGGAGUUACUGGGCGUAAAGAGUGCGUAGGCGGUUUUCUAAGUUCGGUGUGAAAUCUCCCGGCUUAACUGGGAGGGUGCGCCGAAGACUGGGAAGCUGGAGUGUGGGAAAGGCAGGCGGAAUUCCUGGUGUAGCGGUGAAGUGCGUAGAUAUCAGGAGGAACACCGGCGGUGUAGACGGCUUGCUAGACCAUAACUGACGCUGAGGCACGAAAGCGUGGGUAGCAAACA